CCUUGCGCGGAAUCAUUAUUGCUCGUCUUGGGACGCAACCAAAUAUAUUAGGGACUGCCAGAAACAUUACUAAAAAACGAUUAUUCGGUUUCAGGCUGACCGCAAUUACUUCACGCAAUCUGAGCAGCGGUUCACGGGACCAUUUGAACGUGAAGCCUUUUCAGGGAACAGGCCCCUUCCCCAGUCAGGCGAGCACUUAUCGAAGCGAGCAAAAAUUCUCCUUCAAAAACAGACGACAGUUCGUCAACAACAAGGCGCAGCAGUGUCGGAGGGCCCAAAGCAAGAAAUCAACCGAGGUAGAGAGAAACGUAAGCGCCAUCGCUCCGGUAAACAGAGAUUUCUUGUCCAAGUGACAAAAAAUCAUAGAUGUUUUUGUAUUGAAUUGUAUCGCGGGAUAUAGUCUUUGCAAAAAAUUGGAGAGAGUCUGGUACCACAGAUGACCAUAAUGGAAUCGGAGGUUAAAAAAUAGGAAGAAACAAUAGAAAAGCUGUGGGACAAGUGAGCAAUUGAACCAUGUGUGUGGGAAAAUAAAGAUCAGUUUGUGUCUCAUUA